rnacentral:misc_RNA from 1 species
GAACUGCGAUAAGUAAUGUGAAUUGCAGAAUUCAGUGAAUCAUCGAGUCUUUGAACGCACAUUGCGCCCCCUGGCAUUCCGGGGGGCAUGCCUGUCCGAGCGUCAUUGCUGCCCUUCAAGCCCGGCUUGUGUGUUGGGUCGUCGUCCCCUCCGGGGGACGGGCCCGAAAGGCAGCGGCGGCACCGAGUCCGGUCCUCGAGCGUAUGGGGCUUUGUCACCCGCUCGAUAAGGACCGGCCGGGCGCCAGCCGGCGUCUCCAACCUUUUUUUCUCAGGUUGACCUCGGAUCAGGUAGGGAUACCCGCUGAACUUAAGC